rnacentral:lncRNA from 1 species
UUUUUUCCGGGAUUUUGUUUUUAAAGGCAUCGAUCGGGAGAUGCGGGCAGAAAUUGCUGCUGCUGCUGGGGCCGGGAGCUGAGCACCUCCGGAGCAAACCGGGAGCAGCUGAACUUUGGCGCUGGGAAAGAUUCAUUUCUCCUCCGUAAACACUUUGGGGACGACCACAGCGCAUCAUCGCACACCCAGCGCUGCAGCACCCGGUGCUGGAGAGACACUGGGGGGUUCCUCUCUCACCAAGGACGGACACCUGUGUAAGGAGCUGGGGAAGGGCAAUUCAUCUUUCUUUUCCAGAUGACUGCAAAUACCGAAAGGAUCGUGGCUCUCUGCUUUCCAUCAGCAAGUGGCAUUAGGGAGAGGCAGAGGAAUGGAAAUGAUGUUGCUCCAAUUCAUCCCAGCAUCUACUUUUUCCCAAGGGACUCCAUGCCCAUAGGGGUUUGCUGCAUGCAUGUCCAGCAGUGAGGACAGCAGUACCACAGAUGCAUCCCAACUGGAUCAUGUAAGAAUUUGAUACUGAGAAACCCACCCCAGUGAGACUUUCUCUGCCUGAAGUAUAUGGUUUGGUGUAAGCACAGCAAUUUUUGCCUAUUUCUCUCCCUUUUCCAUCUCUUGGGCUUGGAGAUCUCUGCCCUCAUUGCAACUAUGCUCAUUUGCAACAUCAGUGCCAUCAAAGAUUGGAGCACUUUCCUCUCUCAGAUCCUCCCCAGCGUGAACAAGACCCUGAACUUGGUGCAGCAAGUGGAGGCCACUACCAGCUCAGUAGUGAGCGUCCUGCAGGACCCCGAGCAGGACAGCUACCUGGCCAACAGCCAGCCCAUGAACUCCAGCAACUUCACGGCCGGCCUAGACCACUUGUUUCAGUACUCUUACUCCGACAAUGACCAGCUGUACAAGGAGUACAAACCCCCUCCUCGCGACGCCAUCCCUCUGCCCAAGGCUGUCCUCUACCUCCUCAUGGCAGCCCUGGUGGUGGUGGCAGUGGCAUACGCCAUUGUUGGGCACCUCAUCAAGGACCUCAUUCAUGACUUUAUAGAUUGGAUCUUCGGCCCCAACCCAGAUGACAACAGCAACAAAAGCGACGUCAACUGCAUCACCAGCAGUGUCAAUGAGAUGAGCGAGAUGCCCGAGGUGCUGCGCCAUCAUGACCGCCAGCCCCAGGAUGUGGUCAUCGCCAUCAGCGAGACCUGCCACCUGCCACAGCAGACAUGA